rnacentral:rRNA from 1 species
AAUCAACGCUGGCGGCGUGCCUCAGACAUGCAAGUCGAACGCGAAAGUUCCCUUCGGGGAGCGAGUAGAGUGGCGCACGGGUGAGUAACACGUAGGUAAUCUACCCUCGAGUGGGGAAUAACUCAGGGAAACUUGAGCUAAUACCGCAUAAUGCAGCGGCACCACAUGGUGACAGUUGUUAAAGCAUUUAUGCGCUUGGGGAGGAGCCUGCGGCAGAUUAGCUAGUUGGUAAGGUAAUGGCUUACCAAGGCAACGAUCUGUAACCGGCCUGAGAGGGCGGACGGUCACACUGACACUGAAUAACGGGUCAGACUCCUACGGGAGGCAGCAGUCGGGAAUUUUGGGCAAUGGGCGAAAGCCUGACCCAGCAACGCCGCGUGAAGGAUGAAAUCUUUCGGGAUGUAAACUUCGGAAGAAUAGGAAGAAAAAAUAGACGGUACUAUUUUAAGGUU